rnacentral:rRNA from 1 species
AUACGUAGGGAGCGAGCGUUGUCCGGAAUUACUGGGUGUAAAGGGUGCGUAGGCGGGACUGCAAGUCAGAUGUGAAAUGCCGGGGCUCAACCCCGGAGCUGCAUUUGAAACUGUGGUUCUUGAGUGAGGUAGAGGUAAGCGGAAUUCCUAGUGUAGCGGUGAAAUGCGUAGAUAUUAGGAGGAACAUCGGUGGCGAAGGCGGCUUACUGGGCCUUUACUGACGCUGAGGCACGAAAGCGUGGGGAGCAAACAGGAUUAGAUACCCUGGUAGUCCACGCUGUAAACGAUGAAUGCUAGGUGUAAGAGGUAUCGACCCCUUUUGUGCCGGAGUCAACACAAUAAGCAUUCCGCCUGGGGAGUACGGCCGCAAGGUUGAAACUCAAAUGAAUUGACGGGG